AGCCUUAUUAGGAUUUGAUGG
rnacentral:miRNA from 1 species